AUUGAACGCUGGCGGCAUGCUUUACACAUGCAAGUCGAACGGUAACAGGCCUUCGGGUGCUGACGAGUGGCGGACGGGUGCGUAAUGCAUCGGAACGUACCCGGAGGUGGGGGAUAACGCAGCGAAAGCUGUGCUAAUACCGCAUGUGAUCUGAGGAUGAAAGCGGGGGACCGAGCAGCAAUGUUUGGCCUCGCGCCUUUGGAGCGGCCGAUGUCGGAUUAGCUAGUUGGUGGGGUAAAGGCCUACCAAGGCGACGAUCCGUAGCUGGUCUGAGAGGACGACCAGCCACACUGGGACUGAGACACGGCCCAGACUCCUACGGGAGGCAGCAGUGGGGAAUUUUGGACAAUGGGCGCAAGCCUGAUCCAGCAAUGCCGCGUGCGGGAAGAAGGCCUUCGGGUUGUAAAGCGCUUUUGGCAGGAACGAAACGGUGUCCGCUAAUACCGGGCGCUAAUGACGGUACCUGCAGAAUAAGCACCGGCUAACUACGUG
rnacentral:rRNA from 1 species